rnacentral:tRNA from 1 species
AUCUAGGUAGUUUAAUUUAAGAUGUCGAUUUGUGGAGUCGGAUAUGCAAUUUGUUGUUCUGGAUA